rnacentral:rRNA from 1 species
CCAAUAGCGUAUAUUAAAGUUGUUGCAGUUAAAAAGCUCGUAGUUGAAUUUCGGGGUUAGUAGGUUGGUCAUGCCUCUGGUAUGUACUGGUCUCACUGAUUCCUCCUUCCUGAUGAGCCGUAAUGCCAUUAAUUUGGUGUUGCGGGGAAUUUGGACUGUUACUUUGAAAAAAUUAGAGUGUUUAAAGCAAGCUAACGCUUGAAUACAUUAGCAUGGAAUAAUGAAAUAGGACGUUCGAUCCUAUUUUGUUGGUUUCUAGGAUUGACGUAAUGAUUAAUAGGGAUAGUUGGGGGCAUUAGUAUUCAAUUGUCAGAGGUGAAAUUCUUGGAUUUAUUGAAGACUAACUACUGCGAAAGCAUUUGCCAAGGAUGUUUUCAUUAAUCAAGAACGAAAGCUAGGGAAUCGAAGACGAUCAGAUACCGUCGUAGUCUUAACCAUAAACUAUGCCGACUAGGGAUCGGAUGAUGUUAAUUUUUUAAUGACUCAUUCGGCGCCUUACG